rnacentral:lncRNA from 1 species
CCACCAUCCCGCCUCAAAAUGCGAAUCUGCACAGUGGGACCUGGGUGUGUGGUUGUCGAAAGAAGGCCCAGGGGGUCAGCUGCGACUUCUUGCUGAGGCCUAACUGCUGUCCUGCCACAAGGGCCCUCGAAUCUUCAGAAGAGCUGAUAACCGGGCUUGACAGAGGGGGACAGGCGCUGCCUUCCACAGAGCGGUGGAAAUGCCAAGAAGCUGCUUUUCCAGCUUAUCCUGAAGCAAGUACGUGGGUGUAAAGCGAUCCUGGCCACAGGGAAGGCUGCUGAAGGUAGGAGAAGGAAAAACGUGUCUGCAACAACAAUACCAGUGUCUGUGUGAGGAUGUGACACUUGCCACCAACAAGAGAGAAGCCCCCACAGAAGAUGGCAGGAGGGAGGAUGGGGUGAGUCUGGUCCUGGUGGUAGCUCCAGAUGCUGGAAACCUGGAAGCCUCACUGGGGAGACUUCUCGGUGCAUGAGAUAAUCAGAAUCCUGGAUUUUAAACCGUGGC